rnacentral:rRNA from 1 species
UACGGGGGGAGCAAGCGUUGUUCGGAUUUACUGGGCGUAAAGGGCUCGUAGGCGGCCAACUAAGUCAGGCAGUGAAAUCCCUCGGCUUAACCGGGGAACUGCAUCUGAUACUGGAUGGCUUGAGAUUGGGAGAGGGAUGCGGAAUUCCAGGUGUAGCGGUGAAAUGCGUAGAUAUCUGGAGGAACACCGGUGGCGAAGGCGGCAUCCUGGACCAACACUGACGCUGAGGAGCGAAAGCCAGGGGAGCAAAGCGGG